rnacentral:lncRNA from 1 species
AGCAACAAAAAACCUACCUUCAUUAUCAGUUGAUAACAAAAUAAAUAUAGAUUUUUUUGGGUGAUAAAAUAUACACUUCCACCAAGAAAAUUACUAAAUAUUCCCGUACUAAAAACAAAGAUUAAUCGAUUUACCACUAACGCUUGUAGUCAUUACAAAAACAUAAAUAUAGAAAGUUAAAGAAAAUCAAAGUUUUUCCCAGCACAUACAGGUCCAAAAGCAAUUAGAACAGCCUAACAUGUUGUCAUUACACAAACUAUAGCUGGAUACUCUGAUAAAAUUGACACUUGUGUACUGCUGUAGUUGUCCACCUCCUGUACUGCCUUCAUCUGUAAUACUAUUUCUCCACAAGGGAUUGAAAAUGAUUUGCCUUCAGUCUGAUAAUUCAAAUAUUAACCAUCAUGAGAACUUCUGAGGCAUGAAAUUACACCAACAAAUGAGUAUGCAGUGACAAACAAUAAAAAAAGAUAAAUAUCCAGUUUUAACAAAUGAGUAUGCAGAAUUACCUCAGAAUUUAGAUUUAAUGAUUCACAUAGCAAUCUCAAUUGCACUUGGGGGUGAAUCAAUAUCAUCAUUAUCUACACUUAGAUCCUGAGUAACAUCAUCAUUUGAUACUCCAAUUCUACAUGUAAACAAAUAUUAAGUCAAAUUUAAACAAAUACCAAAAUCAAUUUUAAACAAAUAGCAAAGUCAAAAUACACAUAGUAUAAAAUUGGCUUAUGCCUACUCACUGAACACAGUAUAAAAAUGAUGCACGUCUGGAUCAUUUUUACAAAAUACAGACUUGUAGUAUAUAUCCAGUACCAUUAUCACACAUCAUUUAUCCAAGUAUCAAAGUAUAAAAACAAAUAGCAAUGUCAGUUGUGUCUGCUCCUAUUUGUUGUCCAUUUAUAACCAAAAAAGAAUGGCUACGGUAGAAUAACAUCUUACCCUUAUUCUUAUCUUUUCAUUUCCUCUCCCUUUUGUUUGGAACAAAUUUCAAACCUAUAGUCCAUAGACAGUCUCAUACUCUUCACCUACCAAAUAGAGCAUAAAUAUAAGUAUAUCAAUCCGGAUCAGAGAGCUAUACUAAAGUUAUUGAACAACUUUUGUUCUUUCAAAAUUUGGAGAAAUAAGUAAUACUUUGUCAUUCAACUUCCAUAAAAGGAGAUAAGCAAUCAAGUACCAGAUAUUGAAGUUUGCAGGGAAUAAGAAAAAGAACAUGACUGUAAAUCACAAAUAUUUCACAGAAGAAGAACAUGGCCCUAAAUUUGGAGACAUACCAGGUUUAGGGCUUUUUUGGAAGAAAAUGAGAGAGAAUCGGAUGAGGGAAGAGGGUCAUGAUCAGGGCUUCGACUUCAGAAUUGGCUUCGUUGCUCGUAGAUUUUUUCCGAUGAGGGAGGACUGGUUUUUGUUCCUUUCGACUUCGGAUGAGAGAAAUAAGAGGGGACAAAAUAAGUCGUGUUAUGUGAGAGCGAGGAGAGAGAAACUAAUAAGAGGACCCCUUUUAUAGGUAAGGGUAAG